UGUGUGUUAGUGGAAGCGUCUGGAAAGGCGCGCGAUACAGGGUGACAGCCCCGUACACAAAAAUGCACAUGCUGUGAGCUCGAUGAGUAGGGCGGGACACGUGGUAUCCUGUCUGAAUAUGGGGGGACCAUCCUCCAAGGCUAAAUACUCCUGACUGACCGAUAGUGAACCAGUACCGUGAGGGAAAGGCGAAAAGAACCCCGGCGAGGGGAGUGAAAAAGAACCUGAAACCGUGUACGUACAAGCAGUGGGAGCCUCUUUAUGGGGUGACUGCGUACCUUUUGUAUAAUGGGUCAGCGACUUAUAUUCUGUAGCAAGGUUAACCGAAUAGGGGAGCCGAAGGGAAACCGAGUCUUAACUGGGCGUUAAGUUGCAGGGUAUAGACCCGAAACCCGGUGAUCUAGCCAUGGGCAGGUUGAAGGUUGGGUAACACUAACUGGAGGACCGAACCGACUAAUGUUGAAAAAUUAGCGGAUGACUUGUGGCUGGGGGUGAAAGGCCAAUCAAACCGGGAGAUAGCUGGUUCUCCCCGAAAGCUAUUUAGGUAGCGCCUCGUGAAUUCAUCUCCGGGGGUAGAGCACUGUUUCGGCAAG
rnacentral:rRNA from 1 species